GAGGACUGUCCUCGCAUAUUCAGAAAUGAUGGAAUGUGAACCGUGUAACUACGAAGUUAAUUGGUAUUCGGUGGCUUCAUAUUUCCUGCUUCUCUGGGUUAGGUUGCCAAAUGCUGAUAUAUCCAACGGCAUUCAAUAUGACCACUGGACCACUGCACUGGUCAUUACUUCAGCGUUUCAGAGCGAAUGAUAAUCAAUUAUACGUUGCCUGCAUAUCACCGGCUCGUGUUCCUUAAGCAAGUUACGUCGCAUGGGGACAUACACAGUUGACCAAUCCCUGGGGAAAGAUUCUUUACGAUUUGGAAACUCAAGAGAAUAUGGCAGUCACCGAUAUCGAUCUAAAAGUUGUUGAGGAAGUAAGGGCUCAGAUACCUACAUUUUCUCAGAGACGUACAGAUUUGUACGACACUGUCUGUAAGAAGGAGUAACUCUACACUAAAACAGAAAAUGUUUUUUUAUAAUAUUUCUACUACGAUAUCCUUUUUUUGUGAAUUAUUACUAAUUUCUUAUCAUUUGUACUGAAUGAAUGACUCAAUUAAGAAAAUCAAAACGUUAUAAAUAAUAAUCUGUAUAUCUUGUGUAUCAACAUGUAAUUGGAUAUUAUAAUAAUAUAGGAUAAUAAUAUAGGAGAAUAAUAAUAUAGAAAAAAAUACAUGCUUUUAAACACCUUUAA